GAUGAAGAACGCAGUGAAAUGCGAUAAUUAAUGUGAAUUGCAGAAUUCAGUGAAUCAUCGAGUCUUUGAACGCACAUUGCGCCCCCUGGUAUUCCGGGGGGCAUGCCUGUCCGAGCGUCAUUGCUGCCCUCAAGCCCGGCUUGUGUGUUGGGUCUCGUCCCCCUUCCCGGGGGGACGGGCCCGAAAGGCAGCGGCGGCACCGCGUCCGGUCCUCGAGCGUAUGGGGCUUUGUCACCCGCUCUGUAGGCCCGGCCGGCGCUUGCCGAUCAACCAAAACUUUUUUCCAGGUUGACCUCGGAUCAGGUAGGGAUACCCGCUGAACUUAAGCAUAUCAAUAAGCGGAGGA
rnacentral:misc_RNA from 1 species